AAACCCGUGUCCAUAUUGUGUGUGUGAAGAAGCAUCGAAGCGCGGCAGCCAUGUUCAGCGUGGCAUUUCGGAAGGCUUGUCAGGGGUGGAGAAGCGGGGCGGGUUGCUGUUCUUUCACCUGACACUAAAGCGCCAUGCCGGAAGCACUGAGUCUGAUACGUCGGAACCAGUCUCCACCGUGUGGUUUGGUCUUGAUUUCCACUGGUACUCUGGGGUCUUGGAUAAGUCUCUGGACCUCGCCUUUGUCAUUUGCGAAGUCGAUAGGUUCCAAUAGAGAUUUUCCCAGAAUCAUUCAACUAAAAAUAGAGAACUUUUUUUUUUUGAGAGGAAGGACGGGGGCGCAGUUAAAGAUGUUAAUGUUAAGUCAUCCCUUCUGUGAUUUCGGGACAUUAUCUUUGCACGCCAUGUGAAGAUGUGCUUGCUUCCUUGUCACCUUCCGCCAUGAUUGUAAGUUUCCUGAGGCCUCCCAGGAAGCAGAAGCCUGUACAGCCCACAGAACCAUGACCUGAUGAAAUCUCUUUUCUUUAUAAAUUACCCAGUCUCAGAUCUUGCUAUGCUUGUCAUUGUGUAAGCAGCAAACUUGCAGUGACCAGUUGGAUUCCACCCCCCUGAUGUUGGUGGUGUGCUCUUGGGGAGAUGUCUUCCAGACAGGCAAAGAAGAGUGACAUCAUCAGAGCAUGGACGACCUCAAAGAUAUUCCAGCUAUGGUCUGUGAUAUUUUUCCAGCAUUCUUUCAAUCGAUGUCAGUCUGAAGUUUACAUGGCUAAUUGUGUGCUCAGGAUUGUCCUUCUUGAACAGGAUGUAGGAGUCCAGCACUGUAAUUUUUAGAAGGUAGUGAAAUAAUUUCUUAUACCAAACAUUUGAUCUCAGUUGGUUAAGAAGUGAGCAUCUGAUCAGCCAAAUCCACCGCUCCCAUAUUCUUGUUAUAAUCCACAAUGGCACAUGGCUCCUUAGUUUUCUUUCCAUUUCUGCUGUCUACUUCAAUCACAGUAUCAUGGUUGAUAUGGUUUGGCUCUGUGUCCCCACCCAAAUUUCAUCUCGAAUUGUAAUUUCCAUGUGUUGGAGGAGGGGCCUGGUAGGAGGUGAUUGGAUCAUGGGGGCAGAUUUCCCCUUGCUGUUCUCAUGAUAGUGAGUGAGUUCCCAUGAGAUCUGAUGGUUUAAAAGUGUAUGGCACUUCCCCCCUCCCCCUCUCUCUGGCCACCAUUAGAAGAAGGUACUUGCUUCCCCUUUGCCUUCCGCCAUGAUUGUAAGUUUUCUGAAGCCUCCCAGUCAUGCUUCCUGUUAAGCCUGCAUAACUGUGGUCAAUUAAACCUCUUUUCUUCAUAAAUUA
rnacentral:lncRNA from 1 species